rnacentral:rRNA from 1 species
GACGAACGCUGGCGGCGUGCCUAAUACAUGCAAGUCGAGCGAAUCAAUAGGAGCUUGCUCCUGAUGGUUAGCGGCGGACGGGUGAGUAACACGUGGGCAACCUGCCUGUAAGACUGGGAUAACACCGGGAAACCGGUGCUAAUACCGGAUAAUCCUUUUCCUCUCAUGAGGAAAAGCUGAGAGUCGGUUUCGGCUGACACUUACAGAUGGGCCCGCGGCGCAUUAGCUAGUUGGUGAGGUAACGGCUCACCAAGGCGACGAUGCGUAGCCGACCUGAGAGGAUGAUCGGGCACACUGGGACGGAGACACGGCCCAGACUCCUACGGGAGGCAGCAGUAGGGAAUCUUCCACAAUGGACGAAAGUCUGAUGGAGCAACGCCGCGUGAGCGAUGAGGGCCUUCGGGUCGUAAAGCUCUGUUGUUAGGGAAGAACAAGUACCGGAGUAACUGCCGGUACCUUGACGGUACCUAACCAGAAAGCCACGGCUAACUACGUGCCAGCCGCCGCCGUAA